UACGGAGGGGGCGAGCGUUAUUCGGAAUUAUUGGGGGUAAAGGGCGCGUAGGCGGCCCGGUAAGUCAAAGGUGAAAUCCCUCGGCUCAACUGAGGAACUGCCUUUGAAACUGUCGGGCUUGAGGCCGGGAGGGGGUAGCGGAAUUCCCAGUGUAGCGGUGAAAUGCGUAGAUAUUGGGAGGAACACCGGUGGCGAAGGCGGCUACCUGGACCGGUUCUGACGAUCAGGCGCGAAAGCGUGGGAGCAAACAGG
rnacentral:rRNA from 1 species